AACCCGACUACAUGAAGCUGGAAUCGCUAGUAAUCGCGGAUCAGAAUGCCGCGGUGAAUACGUUCCCGGGUCUUGUACACACCGCCCGUCACACCAUGGGAGCCGGUAACGCCCGAAGUCAGUGACCCAACCGAGAGGAGAGAGCUGCCGAAGGCGGGACAGGUAACUGGGGUGAAGUCGUAACAAGGUACC
rnacentral:rRNA from 1 species